rnacentral:tRNA from 1 species
AACGAACUAUCUCGGGAACGCGGUUACCAGACAAACUGUAUAAUUGCCAGUGCCAACACGGGCUCAUAGCUCAGUUGGAAGAGCGCCGCCUUUGCAAGGCGGAGGCCAUGGGUUCAAAUCCCAUUGAGUCCACUUUCGAUGCACCUGGAGAUGCGAGUCACCAGGGAAGGGCUGAGGGUCAAUGACCCUUUGAGGCCGUGUAAAGGUUUGCACUCAGGACGUUAUAUGGGUUUGACGGAGCACUGGUCUUAGCCUGUCAGUGAAUGGCUCGGUUCGAGUGCCGAAGAAGG